GAUGAACGCUAGCGGCAGGCUUAACACAUGCAAGUCGAGGGGUAUAGUAGCAAUACUAGAGACCGGCGCACGGGUGCGUAACGCGUAUGCAAUCUACCUUUACAGAGGGAUAGCCCAGAGAAAUUUGGAUUAAUACCUCAUAGCAUUGCGAAAUGGCAUCAUUUUGCAAUUAAAGUCACAACGGUAAAAGAUGAGCAUGCGUCCCAUUAGCUAGUUGGUAAGGUAACGGCUUACCAAGGCAACGAUGGGUAGGGGUCCUGAGAGGGAGAUCCCCCACACUGGUACUGAGACACGGACCAGACUCCUACGGGAGGCAGCAGUGAGGAAUAUUGGACAAUGGGCGCAAGCCUGAUCCAGCCAUGCCGCGUGCAGGAUGACGGUCCUAUGGAUUGUAAACUGCUUUUGUACGAGAAGAAACACUCCGACGUGUCGGAGCUUGACGGUAUCGUAAGAAUAAGGAUCGGCUAACUCCGUG
rnacentral:rRNA from 1 species